UCAGUACCUGGGCAAGGGAUCAUGAAGAGGCAAUGGGGAGCCCUGCUGGGGCUUCUGUGGGUCCAGAUUUGCUGGGUGGGAGGAGUGAAGGUGGAGCAGAGCCCUUCAGUCUUGAAGCUCCAGGAAGGAGCCAACUCUACUCUGAGGUGCAAUUUUUCUGACACAGUGAGCCGUGUGCAGUGGUUCCAGCAGAAUCCCGGAGGCAGCCUCACCACGCUGUUUUUCAUAACUUCAGGGACGAAGCAGAAAGAAAGGCUGAGUUCCACAGUGAAUUUUAAGGAACGGUAUAGCACCCUACACAUCGCAGCCUCCCAGCUGGAAGACGCAGCCACCUACCUCUGUGCGGUGGAGGCACAGUGCUCCCUGGUGAUCUGCAGCCUGUGCCCAAACUGCAGCUGCCUCAGCCCCGCCCCUCCGCAGGGCUACACCGUGCAAGUACCUUGUUACCUCUUUGGGUUUCCAGAUUCAUACUUCAGCAGCGACUGGAGCGCUGUGUCUGAAAACCAAGGAGCACCAAACACUGAGGGCAGCUGCAACAGGCUGAGAGAAAGGCACGGGGUCUACAGCGGCUCAUCCACAGGUACCGACAUUUGGGACUAA